GUGUGUGCGUGCGUUCUUUCGUCCAGUUUUCAUAAGGAACGUUUUGUGAACUGUGGUCGCCAGAUGGAACUCAAAAGUCUCCUCGACUGCAGUUCGGCCUUCUUCAAGAAGGACUAAGUCCUAAGGACUUAAACCUUUAUCAUUUAUCUUCUGACUCCUUUUUUGCAGAAGCACAUUAAGUCGGCUGCAGACCUUCACAGUAAAUCGGCUGCAUCUCAAGACCCAACGGAUAGGAGUGUUGGCUGGUAAGCUGGGCAUCUGUGUAUCUAAGCUAGCAAUAAAGCGGAAGUACAACCUCA